UGCAUUCACUACUGUAAGUCACUCUGGAUAAGAGCGUCUGCUAAAUGACAAAAG
rfam:Salmo salar isolate Sally breed double haploid chromosome ssa23, whole genome shotgun sequence.